ensembl:snRNA U1 U1 spliceosomal RNA
ACUCAUACCUGUCAGGGGAAAUACCAUUAUUGUAAAAAUGGUUUUCCCAGGGUAAGGCUCAUCUAUUGCACUCUGGAUAUGUUGACCCCUGUGAUUUCCCCAAAUGUGGGAAAAUCAACUGCCUAGGUGAGGGAUUGUGGUUUCCCCUGGUCUUUC